rnacentral:rRNA from 1 species
CCUACGGGAGGCUGCAGUGGGGAAUAUUGCACAAUGGGCGCAAGCCUGAUGCAGCCAUGCCGCGUGUGUGAAGAAGGCCUUCGGGUUGUAAAGCACUUUCAGCGGGGAGGAAGGCGGUGAGGUUAAUAACCUCAUCGAUUGACGUUACCCGCAGAAGAAGCACCGGCUAACUCCGUGCCAGCAGCCGCGGUAAUACGGAGGGUGCAAGCGUUAAUCGGAAUUACUGGGCGUAAAGCGCACGCAGGCGGUCUGUCAAGUCGGAUGUGAAAUCCCCCGGCUCAACCUGGGAACUGCAUUCGAAACUGGCAGGCUAGAGUCUGGUAGAGGGGGGUAGAAUUCCAGGUGUAGCGGUGAAAUGCGUAGAGAUCUGGAGGAAUACCGGUGGCGAAGGCGGCCCCCUGGACAAAGACUGACGCUCAGGUGCGAAAGCGUGGGGAGCAAACAGGAUUAGAUACCCUUGUAGUC